UUUCUUCUUCCUCGCUUGAACUAGAAGAAGAUUCCAAAAAUAUUAAAAAGAGCCAAAUCCGAAUUGCUCAUUUUGUCGAAUUUUCGUUCGUUAUUGUUCAACAGAAUGCCCUACUGUUUGCAUGCAUCCAGUGCACUGAACUGGCACCGUCAAAAUAGGUCUGUUCUUUUUGGCUGAACUCGUUGCACUAGUUCAGGAAGUGUGCACUGAAGCGUUCUUUUCGACACCGGUGCUCGGUAGUGACACCGUACAAGCCCGUUCUUUUCAUCAGUGCAAUCAAACUUAGUGCAACAGUUCACUGUACUGCCUGCCCCAGGUCUUGAGCAAGGGCAACCAGUGCAGUGCAGAGACAGCAACAUGCUGUCCCAGUCUGCAUUACUCCUGAACUAGUACAUGAACUAGUGCAACGAGUUCAGCCAAAAAGAACAGACCUAAUAUCUCGUGCCACUUAGUGUGCACUGAGUGCGCACUAUGCGAGUGUUGUGCGUUCAAACGAACACGCAACACUAGCCAAGUACGCAUUGGCACUGCCAAUCGAAGACGCGCCUGACACUCAGUGCAGCCAGUGCACCCCAAUCGAAAACGCUAUAAAACUUACAACCUUGCAAUUUCUAUAUUGACUGGCAAUUACAAUAUAUUUUACCUUGAUUAUAGAAUUAUUUUUUUGUAAUAUUACUGUGUCCAUUUACAAAGUGGGCAUUUUUUGGUUCUGUUAAUCGGUGUUUUUGUUUUAUUUUCUUUUUCUUACAACAUGAUACACGUAUACUGUACAUAUGAGAAUUUAUACAUGCAAGCUACGUUGUGUUUUAUAAUGUAUAGUCACAGUAUUCAGAAAAUGCAGUAUUUUCGUUGGCCGAGCUUUUUAUCAUUCACAUUUUUGCAAACUACAUAGUAGUGUUAGAACAUUUUUCCUCAUAAUACUUUAAUUCUUCCAUGAGACACUUAAAUAAACCAGAUAACUAAGAGAAUGCAAGGCAACAUCACUGUCUACUGAUUCAAUAUCUCUCAGUGCGCAGCCGAAUACUAAUCACGUGAGCUACCAGUGAACGUUACGUUAAUUAUAUUGUAUGCUUGUUACCGAGUGCCGAGUGUAAUCGCGUGUCCGGCGAAAUACGUCGUGGUGCAUCUCAUAGCAACGACACGUGAUAAAGAAAAUGUGUGCAUAAUUUAUUCGUUUGAAAUCUACGUGCUAGUCAGAUUCCCAAGGACGCACAAUGACGUAAAAGACACAAACGAAAUAGUCUUUCUUGAGACCAUGCAUAGACACACAAAUAAUACAUAUAUACAUACAAGGAGGAAUAUAUGUGUGUGAGAAAGAGAUAGAGAGAACAUAAAGAGCAAUUUUGGUGAGAGAAUGAGAGAAUAUGUGGCUGAGAUAUAUAUUUAAAAAAAAUAUAUGUUUCACAAAGGGAGGGCGCGAACUUAUUACCACGCACUUAACGCCUGAGCUACCCCGACAUCUCGAAAAUGGGUCCGAAAUACUCGGUAUAUAAACAACGCUAAUAUUAGUUUUCUAAAGAAUGGCUAAGCGUUGCGCCCUAUCCCUUUGCACAAGUACUUUAUUAAUAGAGUACUAUACUAUAUUAAACGCAUUUCAAAAUCGGUGACCCCAAGUCCACGCCCUCCCCUUGUCAGCCACAUAUUCUCCCAUUUUUAUCAAAAUUGCUCUUUUUGUUCUCUCUAUGCUGAGCGCGUAUAUUUAAAAAAUAAGCAUAAUUAAAGUAACAGUGAUUAGUAAAUCGAUCUGCUCGAGACUAACGUUAACACUAAACUAUUCAUCACGUUGCCAAUUGAAUGAACGCUAAAUCAAACGCUAACGUAACGAGUUUAGUAACACUUUGUGCCAUUGUCGUUUCUGUUUAUUGUAUAAGAAAAAAAUUAUAUAUAUAUAUAUAUAUAUAUUAUAUGUAGAUCCUCUUUUUGUCCUUUUCUUACUAUAUAUAUUUAGUCGAGAGAUACACUAUAUAAAUAUAUAUAUAUAAGGAUAAUAAAAUUUUAUUAUAAAUUCAAUAAGGUGAAUCAUUGAAGAGUAUUACGAGAUAUUGAAAAUUUGUUUUGGAAACGUUUGCGUUGUCUGACGUAAGUAUUACAAAUGUAUUGGAUAUAGAAUCGUGUGUCCACUUGGUAUCAAACGCCUUGUAACACGAAUCUCUAAUAAUACCUCGAUAAUUCACUUCAGCGUGAUGACGCAGUAAUUCAAACGUCUCGAACACAAUACGGCCAAAUAGUGCCAAAAAAUAAAAGAAUAUUGAAUAUAAAAUGAGGAGCAAUUCGAAGAAAAAAAAAGAAGAAAAACGACAGACUGUAUUUCUUUUACUUGGUGCCUUCGGCGUCGAAGCGACGGGAUUUGAUUGUCUUUCAUCAUCACUUAGGAGCAAUUUCGCAGAUAGUACAGACGAAAUUAAAGAAAGGAGAAGAUACAAAGUCUAAUUCUCUGUUGCCGACGUCGUAUAAAGUGAAAAUAACUUCGAGAUAAAAACAUUGAUUAUUCUCGUGUAGCAGAUAGUGUAUUACAAUGCAGACUCGAUAUUUUUUCCAUUCUGCGCUCCGAAUAGAAUCUCGAAAGUUUCGCGAAUAAAAUAUUUUAUUCUACGCGCCCAAUUUGCAUGCGCGUGUUGCUUGUGUGACACUUUAUUCGAAAGCUGAAUUAUUGUCGAGACAAAUACGAUUUAGUAGGCUUUCGAGAAAAAGAGGCGAGAAGGAACUUGGUUGUGCGCAUUUAAUAAACGAUAUUACGCGCGUUAUUUUCACGGAUUAAUCGCACCUUUAAAUCCGCUAAAGGUCCGUAUGCGCUAAUUAAGGAGCAGGCAAAAUUGUGCGUAGAAUUAGAGAAUUCAAUGCAAGAAUCACAUCUCUAUACGUCGGGUCGAAUUUAAAUUUGAAGAUGUAUUUGAAAUAUGAAUGUUGCUAAAUCAUAUAUAUAAAUAUACAUAUAUAUUUAUAUGGAAUUAUAUAUAUAUAAAUAUACAUAUAUAUUAUAUAUAUAUGUUUCGUCACUCUUUCUAGCAUUGAAUGCUCCAAUUUUCGAUAUUCAGAGUAAGUCGGCAUAAAUUUGCGGCUCGCACCGAUUCAGAGCCUGAUGUGUAUCACGAUUAUGUAUAUACAUAUACAUAUUAUACAAUAUAUAAUAUGUAGAACCUAAUAUAAUAAUUGAUAUACAGAUAUUAGGUAGCUCAUCGUCACUGCCUGCAGCGUUGGUCGUGCUGAGGAUACGAGAGGCUCUCUGACACAGCCAGACUCUGCGUGGUGAUCGUGUUUAUCGAUUCGCUUGUUCUGUUAAGUUUUAAACGAGCAUUAUUAUUAUUAUAUAUCGAUAUUCGAAACUUGCGUUGUAAUUGUCAAUGCGUGUGUGAUAUACGUAAGGAUUUAACUUGUGUAACGAGCGUUAAGGGAUGAUUCUGGCGAUCCCUCUUUUUUCUCCUCUUCAUGCGAACCCGGGAUCGUUCGAUAGAUGCUAGAACAUAAGCUUUGUGCGUUAUUUUAAUAUUUGUUGAUACGUGUUACCCUUUUCUCACGCGUAUAAUGAAUUUUGUUCUUAAGCGUCGACCCGCCCUAUGGAUGCUUUUUUUUCAUACAUGUUGCAAUUUUUAUUCAAAGCUCGCUUUGUGCAUGAUACAAGAUACCCUAAUAUUUAUUAUCCCGCGAAGAGAAUUAUUAUUGAUACAAAUUCACGUGUAUACAUAAUAAUUGACUGACAGCGUGCGAUCUGCCAUGCGAUAUACGCUUCUUAAAUUUGGAAAAAUCAUUAUUUAAGGAAAAACUUGAACAAUUUUUUAUAGUUUAUAAGAGAGAGCUAAUAUGAUACCGAUGAAUUUUUUUCCUACUCAUCUUUUUCAUAUAAAGCUAUUCUUUUUUUUUUUUUAAUAAAGUCAUGCCUUUUUAAUCUUGAGUAAUAAUUUUCGCGAACAGACAGAUGUAAUUAGAUCUCUCGUACUAUCGGUCAUGUUAUAUUUAAAGUUACCCGCGCAUAGGCGAGAAAAAAUGUCUGUGCCCUGAUUGGUCGAUAUAAAAAUGCUACUUUCGAAACGUACCCUGAAAUGUCGUGACGUUGCCGCCGAUGCGAGCGCCAUCACUUUAAUAGUUUUCGCGCGUUUCAUUCAGCAGCUUGCACUGCAGUUCCGAGCCUUUGAAAUUUCGUGCUUUCUUUCGCGGGACUUUAAUUGAGUGCGAAGAGGCUUCUUUUGCUUCCAGUCACGGCGACGAGCAUGGACUUUUUGGCAUCAUCGAUGCGCCCUUUCGAGACGAGCCAGACGGGCGAUUCCGGCACCCAGAAUUGCACCAUAAUAAUCGGCACAAUCGAGUAGAUGAUGCUGAGCCAGGCAACUAGUCGCCAAUCUAGAUGCAGCUCGGAAAUUCAAGAAUCGCUCUGACAUUGAACAUUUUAAUGACAUCUUUGCACGCUUCCGGUUAAGACCUCGAAAGGAUCGAUCGAUCCAGAACGGAUCAACGCCCUGACAAAGCGUGAAAUACUGGCAGUAAAUAAACACAUACAG